AUUGUUUUUUUUAAAAAAAGGUAGCUGUAAUAGAAACUUAAAUACUAAUUAGGUAUACCUUAAAUAGGCUAGGAAAGAAGAGUUGGGCAAACUAGAAGAAAAAGAAGGGAAAUAAGAAUGAAAUGAGGUGUUACACAUAUUAAAAUAAAUUAAAAUAGAAAUAAAUCAGAAGAAUUAAAAAUAUUACCAAAUGGGCUAAGUUUUAGUGGGCUUCUGGUUUAGUUGGAAUGAUAUUCAGCUUUGAUGAUUAAGAUGGAUUGGGAAGGAAUAUUUUAUUGGACUUCUAGCCUAGAAAAUAGAUAAAGCAAGUUGACGCUAAUAAUUAUUUACAUCCAAAGAAACAUCAAAACAGAUUACC
rnacentral:lncRNA from 1 species